AGAGUUUGAUCAUGGCUCAGGAUGAACGCUAGCGGCAGGCUUAACACAUGCAAGUCGAGGGGUAUGGUUCUUCGGAACUAGAGACCGGCGCACGGGUGCGUAACGCGUAUGCAAUCUACCUUUCACAAAGGGAUAGCCCAGAGAAAUUUGGAUUAAUACCUUAUAGUAUAGCGAGUUCGCAUGGAUUUGCUAUUAAAGAUUUAUCGGUGAAAGAUGAGCAUGCGUCCCAUUAGCUAGUUGGUAAGGUAACGGCUUACCAAGGCUACGAUGGGUAGGGGUCCUGAGAGGGAGAUCCCCCACACUGGUACUGAGACACGGACCAGACUCCUACGGGAGGCAGCAGUGAGGAAUAUUGGUCAAUGGGCGCAAGCCUGAACCAGCCAUGCCGCGUGCAGGAUGACGGUCCUAUGGAUUGUAAACUGCUUUUGUACAGGAAGAAACACCCCGACGUGUCGGGACUUGACGGUACUGUAAGAAUAAGGAUCGGCUAACUCCGUGCCAGCAGCCGCGGUAAUACGGAGGAUCCAAGCGUUAUCCGGAAUCAUUGGGUUUAAAGGGUCCGUAGGCGGCUUAAUAAGUCAGUGGUGAAAUCCCUACGCUUAACGUAGGAACGGCCAUUGAUACUGUUAGGCUUGAAUUAUUAGGAAGUAACUAGAAUAUGUAGUGUAGCGGUGAAAUGCUUAGAGAUUACAUGGAAUACCAAUUGCGAAGGCAGGUUACUACUAAUGGAUUGACGCUGAUGGACGAAAGCGUGGGUAGCGAACAGGAUUAGAUACCCUGGUAGUCCACGCCGUAAACGAUGGAUACUAGCUGUUGGAAGCAAUUUCAGUGGCUAAGCGAAAGUGAUAAGUAUCCCACCUGGGGGAGUACGUUCGCAAGAAUGAAACUCAAAGGAAUUGACGGGGGCCCGCACAAGCGGUGGAGC
rnacentral:rRNA from 1 species